rnacentral:rRNA from 1 species
UUCGGGGUACACGAGCGGCGAACGGGUGAGUAACACGUGGGUGAUCUGCCUCGUACUCUGGGAUAAGCCUGGGAAACUGGGUCUAAUACCGGAUAUGACCACGAAUCGCAUGGUUUGUGGUGGAAAGAUUUAUCGGUGCGAGAUGGGCCCGCGGCCUAUCAGCUUGUUGGUGGGGUAAUGGCCUACCAAGGCGACGACGGGUAGCCGGCCUGAGAGGGCGACCGGCCACACUGGGACUGAGACACGGCCCAGACUCCUACGGGAGGCAGCAGUGGGGAAUAUUGCACAAUGGGCGGAAGCCUGAUGCAGCGACGCCGCGUGAGGGAUGACGGCCUUCGGGUUGUAAACCUCUUUCGACAGGGACGAAGCGCAAGUGACGGUACCUGUAGAAGAAGCACCGGCCAACUACGUGCCAGCAGCCGCGGUAAUACGUAGGGUGCGAGCGUUGUCCGGAAUUACUGGGCGUAAAGAGCUUGUAGGCGGUUCGUCGCGUCGAUCGUGAAAACUUGCAGCUCAACUGCGAGCUUGCGGUCGAUACGGGCGGACUAGAGUACUGCAGGGGAGACUGGAAUUCCUGGUGUAGCGGUGAAAUGCGCAGAUAUCAGGAGGAACACCGGUGGCGAAGGCGGGUCUCUGGGCAGUAACUGACGCUGAGAAGCGAAAGCGUGGGUAGCGAACAGGAUUAGAUACCCUGGUAGUCCACGCCGUAAACGGUGGGCGCUAGGUGUGGGUUUCCUUCCACGGGAUCCGUGCCGUAGCUAACGCAUUAAGCGCCCCGCCUGGGGAGUACGGCCGCAAGGCUAAAACUCAAAGGAAUUGACGGGGGCCCGCACAAGCGGCGGAGCAUGUGGAUUAAUUCGAUGCAACGCGAAGAACCUUACCUGGGUUUGACAUACACCAGAAAGCUGCAGAGAUGUAGCCCCCCUUGUGGUUGGUGUACAGGUGGUGCAUGGCUGUCGUCAGCUCGUGUCGUGAGAUGUUGGGUUAAGUCCCGCAACGAGCGCAACCCUUGUCCUGUGUUGCCAGCGCGUUAUGGCGGGGACUCGCAGGAGACUGCCGGGGUCAACUCGGAGGAAGGUGGGGACGACGUCAAGUCAUCAUGCCCCUUAUGUCCAGGGCUUCACACAUGCUACAAUGGCCGGUACAGAGGGCUGCGAUACCGUGAGGUGGAGCGAAUCCCUUAAAGCCGGUCUCAGUUCGGAUCGGGGUCUGCAACUCGACCCCGUGAAGUUGGAGUCGCUAGUAAUCGCAGAUCAGCAACGCUGCGGUGAAUACGUUCCCGGGCCUUGUACACACCGCCCGUCACGUCAUGAAAGUCGGUAACACCCGAAGCCGG